UGGCCGAACUAGUUGCUGCUAUAUCAAAUAGUAGAGGAAACUCCACGCUCGCACAAUCUGGGAUGAUUGUAGUGUUUGUGUUAAUCGAAAAAAUAAGAUUAAGCAUAAGAACUUUCUUAUGACGGCUGAAAAGAUUCCUAAGUUACAAUGUAAUAUGGAUAUUUUCUGUAAAAGUGCCACAGAAACGAGGAACUAAAGAAAUUUAGGGAGAUGGAACGGGUAAACCCCACAAGCGAGAAACCUAAAUAUUGGUAAGGGACUUUUGUAUUUUUAAUUCAGAAGAAAUACAAGAAUUAAAAGGAGACUUUUAAUAGAUAAAUAACUAGUGUUUUUAUUCGUAAGAAUAAAAAAACAGAACGUGGGUUAUGAAG
rnacentral:RNase_P_RNA from 2 species